rnacentral:rRNA from 1 species
UACGGAGGGUGCGAGCGUUAAUCGGAAUUACUGGGCGUAAAGGGCGCGUAGGCGGCGCGGUAAGUCACUUGUGAAAUCUCUGAGCUUAACUCAGAACGGCCAAGUGAUACUGCAGUGCUAGAGUGUGGAAGGGGCAAUCGGAAUUCUUGGUGUAGCGGUGAAAUGCGUAGAUAUCGGGAAGAACACCCGUGGCGAAGGCGGCUCUCUGGGACGGUACUGACGCUGAGACGCGAAAGCGUGGGGAGCAAACAGG